rnacentral:snRNA from 1 species
AGCUUUGCUCAGUGGCAGUAUUGUAGCCAAUGAGGUUUAUCUGAGGUGCGAUUAUUGCUAAACAAUAAAUGUGUGAUCAGGUCAGUGAAUAUUUUACCCACUAUUCUGGAUCAAUUGUUUCUUCCUGAUCUUGGAA